GACGAACGCUGGCGGCGUGCCUAAUACAUGCAAGUUGAGCGCUGAAGGUUGGUACUUGUACCAACUGGAUGAGCAGCGAACGGGUGAGUAACGCGUGGGGAAUCUGCCUUUGAGCGGGGGACAACAUUUGGAAACGAAUGCUAAUACCGCAUAAAAACUUUAAACACAAGUUUUAAGUUUGAAAGAUGCAAUUGCAUCACUCAAAGAUGAUCCCGCGUUGUAUUAGCUAGUUGGUGAGGUAAAGGCUCACCAAGGCGAUGAUACAUAGCCGACCUGAGAGGGUGAUCGGCCACAUUGGGACUGAGACACGGCCCAAACUCCUACGGGAGGCAGCAGUAGGGAAGCUUCGGCAAUGGACGAAAGUCUGACCGAGCAACGCCGCGUGAGUGAAGAAGGUUAUCGGAUCGUAAAACUCUGUUGGUAGAGAAGAACGUUGGUGAGAGUGGAAAGCUCAUCAAGUGACGGUAACUACACAGAAAGGGACGGCUAACUACGUG
rnacentral:rRNA from 1 species